AUCUUUGCGCUUGGGGCAAUGACGCAGCUAGUGAGGUUCUAAACGAGGCGCGUCUAUUGCUGGUUGAAAACUAUUUCCAAACCCCCUCUUGGGCCUGGGUUAUGAUCAGGCCUUCGAGAAUUUCUGGAAGGGCUUCCUUCGGGGAAAAGCU